AUUGAACGCUGGCGGCAUGCUUUACACAUGCAAGUCGAACGGUAACAGGGUGCUUGCACCGCUGACGAGCGGCGAACGGGUGAGUAAUACAUCGGAACAUGCCCAGUCGUGGGGGAUAACACUUCGAAAGAAGUGCUAAUACCGCAUACGUCCUGAGGGAGAAAGCGGGGGAUCUUCGGACCUCGCGCGAUUGGAGUGGCCGAUGUCAGAUUAGCUAGUUGGUGGGGUAAAGGCCUACCAAGGCAACGAUCUGUAGCUGGUCUGAGAGGAUGAUCAGCCACACUGGGACUGAGACACGGCCCAGACUCCUACGGGAGGCAGCAGUGGGGAAUUUUGGACAAUGGGGGCAACCCUGAUCCAGCCAUUCCGCGUGAGUGAAGAAGGCCUUCGGGUUGUAAAGCUCUUUCGGCAGGAACGAAACGGCGAGCUCUAACAUAGCUUGCUAAUGACGGUACCUGAAGAAGAAGCACCGGCUAACUACGUGCCAGCAGCCGCGGUAACAC
rnacentral:rRNA from 1 species